CAGUGCUCUCACGGCUUGCCUCGGGACAGCAGCGUCCCCUCGCAACCCGGCCUGUACUUUCUUCCUAGCAUAGAAUAAAGGACCUACUUUACUUCGGUGUGUCCAUUGCCUUCCCCACGACGUAGAUGGCACAUGGGCACCUACACGACGAGCAAGUCGUCCCACACUUGCAACAAAGGGUGCAGACUAGUGACACUUCAGGAGGUACCCAGUUGGGGAAAGCCAUGCACCCCAUCUGGACCAAACCAGGUUAAACAUCAAGAGAACAAAAUUGCAGAGUGUUGCUGAGCCACCAGCUGAUGAUCAAAUACCUCCAUGCAGCAAUGCUCCUGUAGUGAAACGGAGCAGGGAAAACACUACUAAGGCAGAUUACAUUUUAAACCUGGUCGCUCGUAACUUAGAAGAGAGAUCUGAGAGACAUGAUACUCCUAAUGAGACAUUUGGGAAGUACGUAGGCCAAGCACUCGACUCCCUGGACAAGAAAACAGCAGGCUUUGCUAGGAAACUGAUAAAUGAUGUUAUUUUUGAAGCAGAGAGUGGGAAUUUGUCUGCCUAUUCUAAAAUUGUAACUGACACAUACCAUUCACAUGAAUCAUUUGCAACACCAGUACCACAGUCGUCAAGUUCCUUUCAUGUAAGCGAUAAUUCUAAUAGUGAUUCCAAUAUAUCACAAUAUUUUGCCAAUUUUCAGCCCUUGUAACAAUUUCAUAUGUGGCUGGCAAUCAAAGAGUGAGAUAUAAAGGGUUAUAAUUUUGGAUUGGUUUGGGUUUUGUCCCUUCGUUUGCCACUGUGGUUAGAAAGCAUUGCACAUUUCAACAGAAGGUUUCAGUAUUUUUCACAUAUUAUUACUAUGUACUGAUUUUCCUCAAUAAAUGAACAUUACA